rnacentral:lncRNA from 1 species
CACUAGAGAUAAUAAAUCUAAACAAAAUAGCACGUGGUGUCCUGAUAAUUUAGAUAUUAGCACGAUUUUGGUAAGAAAUAGUAGUACUGAGUUAUUUCAAUAGAUUUUGCUAUUUGAAACAUUCUAAUAACAUCUUUUUCCAAUGUUGUGUUGUUCUACAGGAUAAAGAUCCUAAGCCUUCAUGGGAUGUAAAGUAUCUCUUCUACAAUGGUGACUAAAACAUUUUGUGCACACAAAGGACCGGCUUCCAGGGCUAAUCAGUGGAGAGUCUAUCUUAAUUUUUGAAUACAUAUAGCGUGUUAAGGCGG